AACGAACGCUGGCGGCAGGCCUAACACAUGCAAGUCGAGCGAGGACUUCGGUCCUAGCGGCGGACGGGUGCGUAACGCGUGGGAACGUGCCCUUUGCUUCGGAAUAGCCCUGGGAAACUGGGGGUAAUACCGGAUGAGCCCUUUGGGGGAAAGAUUUAUCGGCGAAGGAUCGGCCCGCGUUGGAUUAGGUAGUUGGUGGGGUAAUGGCCUACCAAGCCGACGAUCCAUAGCUGGUUUGAGAGGAUGAUCAGCCACACUGGGACUGAGACACGGCCCAGACUCCUACGGGAGGCAGCAGUGGGGAAUCUUAGACAAUGGGGGAAACCCUGAUCUAGCCAUGCCGCGUGAGCGAUGAAGGCCUUAGGGUUGUAAAGCUCUUUCAGCUGGGAAGAUAAUGACGGUACCAGCAGAAGAAGCCCCGGCUAACUCCGUG
rnacentral:rRNA from 1 species